GUACAUUUGUGAUAAGGGCUAUUUACUGGAGUAUGGGUAACUUACCAAUUAUGAGAUACCUCCCUGUGAAUUAUUGGCCACAGAGCCCCCAGAAACUCCUCAGAUAAUAUUGCCAUUGCUUUAGGUUAUCUACUAGAACUAAAUGGUUUUAAGAUCAAGACAUAGUACAGUUUGGAGACAGGGUUCAGAGAAAUCCAAUUAGAACUGAGUGCAAGAGAGAACUAUGCAGGUUGGUGGGUGAGAAAAAUCAUGAAUGAUCUUUCUGAACUGUGAGUUCUAUGUGCUACAGGUCCACUGUGCCAGACAAGAUGUACCUUCUUUUGCAAUACUAAUAAUAUAAUCACAUUAGUAAUUACUAAGUGUAAUCAACCACUUUCUAAUUGCAUAUGAGACUGAUUUUCUGAGAAUGAAUUCAUGCCUGGUACUGUAAAAAUAUGUGACUGGUGAGAUCACAGACCCUAAGGAGAAUGUACUACUGAUGUAUUGCCAAAUAGACACAUAACCAAAAUGCCUCCUAGAUAUAUAAUGCUACUCUGAGUCAGAAAUGUUUUGUUUUGUUUUGCAGAGGGUAAUAGUUAAUGCAGAGACUUGAAACUGUUUGAAGUCCUGAGAAUAACUGUUGAAAGCUCAUGCCUAAAUAAGAUCUCUAUGUCACCACCUUCAAGGCCUAGGAAACAUUGCAUAAAAAUGGAGUGAAAAGAUUGCAUGAGCUUGAAGUUGGAGAGAGAAAUACCAUGAAAUACAGUCUUCUUGAUGUUGCAUGGCCAUUGUAGCCAUGAACACAGUAUCUGUGGUUAUUUAAAUAAAUAUACACUCCUGCACAUAAGAUAUGAACACAGAAUGGGACUUAUUUGGGAAGAAUGGAAUGAACAGGAGUAAGAAUAAUGGGAGAGGGUAAAUAUGGUCACAAUAUAUUCUAUAUUUGUGUGAAACCAUCAAAAGUAAAGUUACAAGUCAUUAUUGUAGGCAUACAUCAUUAGAUUAUUUCCUAGAAAACAUAAUAUCUCCAUGAUUGCAUUUUAAAAGAACUAUCUGUUGGAAUAAAAGUAAACUAUAUUGCUUAAAAUACUGCUAUGUUAUUGAUACUUUAUCAAAAGUGUCUUUAAAACUCAUUCUGACUAUAUUGUCUUUUCAAGGGUUAAUCAGAGGACUUUUUGAAUUGAAUAGGCAAGACAUAGUUACUGGUGGCAUGUAGGUCAACAACAUUAAAGGCAUUCAUCCAGCAUAACUUGGACAUUUAUUAUGGAUAUAGCUUGAGAGAAUUUGCCCUGCCCUCUGGAAACAUUCCUCAAGUAUCAUUUCAAUAGAUAAAUAAUAUGGCCAGAUGCCAAUCAAAUUAUGUUAAAAACUUGAAUAUUUAUACAUGUUCUGUUUGAUCAUUAUUGUAUUAAAUAUCUCUAGCCACGAGUUAAAUUAUUUCUAAAAGUAGUUUAAGACAAAUAAAUGCUGGGAAGGGGUGCUGGCCAUUACACAUUGGUAAUCAGACAAUGUGAAUCAGUCUAUGGAAAUCAAAAUGAUAUUCCUCAAAAAAAAAAUAUGUAUUAGCUAUACCACUUCUGUGAAUUUAAACAUGCUAUGGGUUUUUUUUUAAUGUUUUUUAAACUAUUCAUAGUAGACAAGUUAUGGAUUUGGCAUAUGUCCAUCAACUGAUAGGUGUAUAGAAAAUGUGGUAUAUAUGUAUUCAGUAAAGUUUUAUUUAGCCAUAAACAAUGAAAUUGUCACUGCAAGAAAAAUGUAAUGAACCUAGAAAUCAUAUUCCCAGUGUUGUGUAGCAGUUUCCUUUGAAUUGAAACCAUCCUGGAGGGAGGAGACAGGUUUAUGAGACUGGGGAACUAAGCAAAGCUUAAAAUGUCCCAGAAAGCUGAAACAUACAAGAUUCACACAUAUACUGAUUAUGUAAUAGUUACUGUUACAUAACAGUAAAAACUUUCUGGGAUGUAGAGACUUUCAACCAGCCCACCUACCUGAAAGUUGUAGCUUUCAAGUCUGUAACUCUACAGUGAGGCAGCUGCCUUCAAACAUGAACACUCUUACAACUAAUAAACUUCCUGGUCCACUAACC
rnacentral:lncRNA from 1 species